GUGGGGAAUCUUCCGCAAUGGGCGAAAGCCUGACGGAGCAACGCCGCGUGAGUGAAGAAGGCCUUCGGGUCGUAAAGCUCUGUUGAAGGGGACGAAUGUCAAGACUAUCAACAACGGUUUUGAAUGACGGUACCUUUCGAGGAAGCCACGGCUAACUACGUGCCAGCAGCCGCGGUAAUACGUAGGUGGCGAGCGUUGUCCGGAAUUAUUGGGCGUAAAGGGAGCGCAGGCGGGAAGGUAAGUCUAUCCUAAAAGUUCGGGGCUCAACCCCGUGAGGGGAUGGAAACUAUCUUUCUUGAGUGCAGGAGAGGAAAGCGGAAUUCCUAGUGUAGCGGUGAAAUGCGUAGAUAUUAGGAGGAACACCAGUGGCGAAGGCGGCUUUCUGGACUGCAACUGACGCUGAGGCUCGAAAGCCAGGGGAGCGAACGGGAUUAGAAACCCGAGUAGUCC
rnacentral:rRNA from 1 species